GACGAACGCUGGCGGCGUGCUUAACACAUGCAAGUCGAGCGGAAAGGCCCUGCUUGCAGGGUACUCGAGUGGCGAACGGGUGAGUAACACGUGGGUGAUCUGCCCUGCACUUCGGGAUAAGCCUGGGAAACUGGGUCUAAUACCGGAUAGGAGCCAUUUUUAGUGUGAUGGUUGGAAAGUUUUUUCGGUGUAGGAUGAGCUCGCGGCCUAUCAGCUUGUUGGUGGGGUAAUGGCCUACCAAGGCGGCGACGGGUAGCCGGCCUGAGAGGGUGGACGGCCACAUUGGGACUGAGAUACGGCCCAGACUCCUACGGGAGGCAGCAGUGGGGAAUAUUGCACAAUGGGCGCAAGCCUGAUGCAGCGACGCCGCGUGGGGGAUGACGGCCUUCGGGUUGUAAACUCCUUUCGCUAGGGACGAAGCUUUUUGUGAUGGUACCUAGAUAAGAAGCACCGGCUAACUACGUG
rnacentral:rRNA from 1 species